UCCCUAGUGGUCCAGUGGCUAAGGCUCUGCACUCCCAAUGCAGGAGGCCUGGGUUCGAUCCCAUCAGGGAA
rnacentral:tRNA from 1 species